AUGCCCGCUCCGCCUCCAUUUCAUCCUCCCUCCCUCUCUCAUCGUCCUCCUCCGCGUUCUCUCGUCUCCAUCUGCCUCUCUUUGACUUGUGCGCCACUGAGAACUCUUCUUGGAGAACCUCUGAAUCUCGAGAGGCAUUGGGUCCGUCCUGAGUUGUUGUUAGUGUUGCCUUGGUCUUUCGUUUCUGGCUUUCGUGCCGAUCCACUCCGGUGCUGUUCGGCGGCGGUCACGAUGGCCGGCGGCCCGGUUGUGAACACCGGAGGGGGGAAGGACUACCCCGGCAAGCUCACCAUGUUCGUGCUCUUCGCCUGCAUCGUCGCCGCCACCGGCGGCCUCAUCUUCGGAUACGACAUAGGCAUCUCCGGUGGCGUGACCUCCAUGAACCCCUUCCUGAUGAAGUUCUUCCCGGGCGUGUACCACAAGGAGCAGGAGGCGGAGCGGAACCAGAGCAACCAGUACUGCAAGUUCGACAGCCAGCUGCUCACCAUGUUCACCUCCUCGCUCUACCUCGCCGCGCUCGUCGCCUCCUUCUUCGCCGCCACCGUCACCCGCGUCGCCGGCCGCAAGUGGUCCAUGUUCGCCGGCGGGGUCACCUUCCUCGUCGGCGCCGCGCUCAACGGCGCCGCCAAGAACGUCCUCAUGCUCAUCCUCGGGCGCGUCCUGCUCGGCAUCGGGGUCGGCUUCGCCAACCAGUCGGUGCCGGUGUACUUGUCGGAGAUGGCGCCGGCGAGGCUGCGGGGGAUGCUCAACAUCGGGUUCCAGCUGAUGGUCACGAUCGGCAUCCUGUGCGCGAACCUGAUCAACUACGGGACGGCCAAGAUCAAGGGCGGGUGGGGCUGGCGCGUGAGCCUCGCGCUGGCCGCGGUGCCGGCCGGAAUCAUCGCCAUCGGCGCGCUCUUCCUCCCCGACACCCCCAACUCCCUCAUCGACCGCGGCUACACCGAGGACGCCAAGAAGAUGCUCCGGCGCGUGCGCGGCACGGACGACAUCGAGGAGGAGUACAGCGACCUGGUGGCCGCCAGCGAGGAGUCCAAGCUCGUGAGCCACCCGUGGCGCAACAUCCUCCAGCGCCGCUACCGGCCGCAGCUCACGUUCGCGAUCGCCAUCCCCUUCUUCCAGCAGCUCACCGGCAUCAACGUCAUCAUGUUCUACGCGCCCGUGCUCUUCAAGACGCUGGGGUUCGCCGACGACGCGUCCCUCAUGUCCGCCGUCAUCACCGGCCUCGUCAACGUCUUCGCCACCUUCGUGUCCAUCGUGACCGUGGACCGGCUGGGCCGGCGCAAGCUGUUCCUGCAGGGCGGCACCCAGAUGCUGGCCUGCCAGAUCGUGGUGGGCAGCCUGAUCGGCGCCAAGUUCGGGUUCACCGGCGUGGCCGACAUCCCCAAGGGGUACGCGGCGUUCGUGGUGCUCUUCAUCUGCGCGUACGUGGCCGGGUUCGCGUGGUCCUGGGGCCCGCUGGGGUGGCUCGUCCCCAGCGAGAUCUUCCCGCUGGAGAUCAGGUCGGCGGGGCAGAGCAUCACGGUGUCGAUGAACAUGCUGUGCACCUUCAUCAUCGCGCAGGCGUUCCUCCCCAUGCUCUGCCGCUUCAAGUUCAUGCUCUUCUUUUUCUUCGGCGCGUGGGUGGUCGUCAUGACCCUCUUCGUCGCCUUCUUCCUGCCAGAGACCAAGAACGUGCCCAUCGAGGAGAUGGUGCUCGUGUGGAAGGCGCACUGGUACUGGGGCCGCUUCAUCCGCGACGAGGACGUGCACGUCGGCGGCGCCGACGUCGAGAUGCGCUCCAACGGCAAGGUCCAGGCUGCCAAGCUCCCGUGA
rnacentral:rRNA from 1 species